rnacentral:rRNA from 1 species
GGUGAGCCGGCCCCUAAGGCGAGGCCGAAAGGCGUAGCCGAUGGGAACCAGGUUAAUAGUCCUGGGCCCGCGGGUGGUGACGGAGUCGAAGCGUUGUCGGGGCUUAUCGGAUUGUCCCGGCGGCUGGAGGCUUCCAGGAAACAGCCCCCGCAUAUGGACCGUACCCGAAACCGACACAGGUGGACUGGUAGAGAAUACCAAGGCGCUUGAGAGAACGAUGCUGAAGGAACUCGGCAAAUUGCCCCCGUAACUUCGGGAGAAGGGGGCCCCGUGUCCGGGCAACCGGGCGCGGGGGGCACAGACCAGGGGGUGGCGACUGUUUACUAAAAACACAGGGCUCUGCGAA